GGAAGCAUGGAAGCUGUAAAACCCCAAGUCAGUGGUCAAACAGGGCACUCGAAUCUCUCAGGUCACCUGCUUGGCCCUCUUCCAAGUGUACUUCACUUCCUUUCAUUCCUGCUCUAUAACUUUUUAAUAAACUUUCACUCCUGCUCUAAAACUUGCCUCAGUCUCUCACUCAGCUUUAUGCCCCUCGGAUGAAUUAUUUCCUCUGAAGAGGCAAGAAUUGAGUUGCUGCAGACCCGUACGAUUUGCCACUGUUAACAGAAGCAACUUAAAGUGUGAGAGAUGGAUUUAGGAAUACUGAGGUCUGACUUGGAGAUAGAAGUUUUAAUUACACAUCUAAGUGAUGCCUUGAGAAAUUAGUGAAGGGGACUGUUUCCAUGUUGCUGGUAAACUAGAAAGGGGAUAAAAAUGUGGCCAAAAGACAUGAGAAGCCAAAAACAACAUGAACACCAGAGGGUGAGAGAAACUUGAAGACUUCAGUCCUUUUUGUAUCUAUGACUCCAGAAAGGAAAGAAAAAUAAACCAUGUAGAACCUGCUUGCUGUCCUGUCCGCUGCCAGCCGUUGGCCUCAGUAAUCGGAUUCAAGGAUAUUUAUGACCUACUUUUUGAAUCACUGCAGCCCAGGCUGCGCAAUUUCUUAUGUUCUCUUGCUGAGAAACCAACAUACAAGCAGAGAUUGUGUAUUUUUCUGUAAAGGUAGAGGUAGGCGCUUCUGGAAAUUCUGGAAACCUUUCCAAGUUUACAGCACAAACGACCGGAAUGUUAAGAAGGGGUUUUGUUAACAGGUUUGUUUUGCUAGGAUUCUGCAGGGGGUUGGAGCCCUGGGGAGGCUUCUUCUUGUCCCCAUUGGUGUUGAUUCUGUCUCUGAUAUUCACUGGUAGCAAUCAGAUCUCACCUGGCAUAAAGCACGGGCUCCAUCUCUUUUCUAGGAAUGGAUUUUUUUUUCCAUUAAGAAUAGAGUCAUCUCAGUAUGAACAGCUGAUACAAGGGGAAAAAGAAGCAUUUCCAGCAGUGCUUGUUUACCAGUCCUUUAUGACCAAACUGAUGCAAAGUGGGCCACAAACAUGUUUGUUGACACCUGGAGUGUCCAAACUCCAGAAAUAGAUGAGUCCCUCAUGAAAAUAUAUAUAAAGCAAAGAGAUAGAAGAAAUUGAUUAAACCCAUAAAGAUAUGGACAAGGAAGAGAAAGCAACCAACAUUUACCGUGUCUUUCUAUUAAUAGCUACCCAACACUGUCCUGGAGGCUUUUUAAAGAGCUUAUCUCAUUGAAGCCAAGGCUGGGGCUAGCGAGAGGCCAAUGAGGUGAGUCAUGCUUCUGCAGGGGUGGAUUCUGUCUUUAUUUAGAAUUUUGAAAUUUUGUUCCUUAUGGAUUUUUUGCAUUGAUUUUGAUUUUUUUUUAAAAAGAUUCCUCUAUUGAGUUGAAUAGUAUCUCUCCAAAAUUCAUGUCCUCUCCAAACCUCAGAAUGUGAGCUUAUUUGGAAAUAGAGUCUUUGCAGAUGUAAUUGGUUAUGAUGAAGUCAUUCUAGAUUAAAGUGGAGUCUAAAUCCAAAGACUGCAGUCCUUAUUAGGAGGCUGUGUGAACACACAGAGACCCAAGGGGAAGGUAGUCAGUGUGAAGACAGAGGCAGCAAUUGGAGUGAGGCAGCAAUUGGAGUGAUGCAGCUACAGGCCAAGGAGCACCAAGGACAGCCAGCAGCCAGCAGAGCUAGGAGAGGCAAGGAAGGGUUCUUUCUUGGGCCUUCAGAGGGAGCACGGUCCUGCUGACACCUCGAUUUCUGAUGCAUAGCCUCUAGAACUGUGGCAGAAUAAAUGUCUGUUGUUUUAAGCUACUGAGCUUGUGAUAGAAUAGCCCCCUCUUACCCAAGGUUUUGCUUUCUGAGGGUUCAGUUCUGUAGUCAACUUGGAAAAUUCCAGGAAUAAACACUUCAAAAGUUUUAAAUUGCACACCAUUCUGAGCAGCAUGAUGAAAUCUUGUGCUGUCCUGCCCCGGAUGUGGAACAUCCCUUUGUCAUUGACAUCGUCUGCUCCUGACAUUCAACCGUGGACAUCAUCAUGGCUUGAGGAUCCAGAAUCAACUGAGGCAGAUGAUCCUCCCUUCCGACAUCAUCAGAAAGUCAGGAGUAGCCCGAUGCUAUGUCACAAUGCCUGGAUCAUUCACCUCCAUUCACAUCAUGCAGGCAUUGCAUCAUCUCCCUUCAUCACAAGAAGAGGGGAGGUGCUGGUAACAGGAAGGACCUCCUAGAAGAGCGGCAGAAGAGAGGAGGAGGAGAAAGAAACAGAUGCUAGAGAAUUCACUUCUGGUAACAGGUAAGACUUCCUAGAAGAGCAGCAGAAGAGAGGAGGAGGAGAAAGAAACAGAUGCUAGAGAAUUCACUUCUGUAUCCUUCAAACAUUGCAUCUGUGUCUGCAGGACAGUUCUCCAAGUGGCCUUGGACUGACCCAGAUCUCCUUACUUUCUUGCUCAUAGUUCUCCAGAAUAACUGUAGAAUGAGUUGGCAACUGAGAUGGGGGAACUGCCUGAAAGAGUUUGGGCUGUUUCUAUUUCUUCUAGGGAAUGUAACAUCUUGAGUUAGGGAGGAAUGCCCAGGAUAGCCCAAGCUUUGUUUCUGUCUUGCUGGGAAGCAGGAUGACCUUCAAAGACUUGCCUAAUGAGUCCUGUCUCCCCUGAGGUUUGUCAACCAGAGCAGGCAGCAUUUCGGGGCACUCAGCUGUAGUGCA